AGUGAACGCUGGCGGUAGGCCUAACACAUGCAAGUCGAACGGCAGCACAGUAAGAGCUUGCUCUUACGGGUGGCGAGUGGCGGACGGGUGAGGAAUACAUCGGAAUCUACUUUUUCGUGGGGGAUAACGUAGGGAAACUUACGCUAAUACCGCAUACGACCUACGGGUGAAAGCAGGGGAUCUUCGGACCUUGCGCGAUUGAAUGAGCCGAUGUCGGAUUAGCUAGUUGGCGGGGUAAAGGCCCACCAAGGCGACGAUCCGUAGCUGGUCUGAGAGGAUGAUCAGCCACACUGGAACGGAGACACGGUCCAGACUCCUACGGGAGGCAGCAGUGGGGAAUAUUGGACAAUGGGCGCAAGCCUGAUCCAUCCAUACCGCGUGGGUGAAGAAGGCCUUCGGGUUGUAAAGCCCUUUUGUUGGGAAAGAAAAGCAGCAGGUUAAUACCCCGCUGUUCUGACGGUACCCAAAGAAUAAGCACCGGCUAACUUCGUG
rnacentral:rRNA from 1 species